AACGAACGCUGGCGGCAUGCCUAACACAUGCAAGUCGAACGAGACCUUCGGGUCUAGUGGCGCACGGGUGCGUAACGCGUGGGAACCUGCCCUUAGGUUCGGAAUAACUCCCCGAAAGGGGUGCUAAUACCGGAUAAUGUCUUCGGACCAAAGAUUUAUGGCCUUUGGAUGGGCCCGCUUUGGAUUAGCUAGUUGGUAGGGUAAAAGCCUACCAAGGCGACGAUCCAUAGCUGGUCUGAGAGGAUGAUCAGCCACACUGGGACUGAGACACGGCCCAGACUCCUACGGGAGGCAGCAGUGGGGAAUAUUGGACAAUGGGCGAAAGCCUGAUCCAGCAAUGCCGCGUGAGUGAUGAAGGCCUUAGGGUUGUAAAGCUCUUUUACCCGGGAUGAUAAUGACAGUACCGGGAGAAUAAGCUCCGGCUAACUCCGUG
rnacentral:rRNA from 1 species